CCCUUCGCAGGGCGGCGCCGCGGGGGGAAUGGCUGCCCCGACGCCCCUCUCGCGUCUCCACCCUCGUGGCGGCUGCUGACGUGCGGCGCUAGACGUCUUGAGAGGAGAGGGGGGUUGCCCCUGAAGUUGACCGCAGACGUGGCGAGGGGAGAUUCGACGCCCCGACAGCUAUACCUUGAGGACGUUAUUGACUGAUAGGAAAAGAGCAAUGAAGAGGAUGGCAAGAGAUCUGGAAAAUCCAUAUAAAAGCAGGAGCCAUGACCUAGGAGAGAAGAUUCAAGACAGACACUUUGGGAAUCCUUUCUUUUUUAUAUAUAGCAAUUUAAAUAUAUUGGAGAAAAGAGAGAACUACAGGACCAAAUUCCACAGAGUUAAUGGUUAAUUUUUAUAUUAAUAAAAUGUUAUAAUUAAAAUAAUAUAUUUUUUAAAAAAAAUAAUAGAAGAUAAAGAUACUGAGAAUCAGUGUGGUGCAGAGUUAAAGGGUCAGACUAGGUUCUGGAAGACCUGAGUUCAAAUCCCCGCACUGUGAAGGAAGCUUGCUGGCCGUCCUCGGGCCUGUCACGCACACUCAGCUUCCCUUCUUCCACAGGGUUGAUGUGAGGAUAAAACAGAGGAGAGGAGAAUGAUGUAAGCUGCUUUGGGGUGCCCACUGGUGAUGAGGGUGGAGUAUAAAGGAACUAAAUAAAAUAUUAUAUCCCAUUUCAAUUUCAUUCUUCCUCUAAAGAACUCAGGCAAUGGGGGGUGGGAGGUGGAGCAAGAAGCUCCACUACAUAAUGAGGCUGGGAAACCAUGACCUUCACAGUGCAGUCCUGAUCAGAUUUAUACCCUUCUAAACCCAAUUACUUCCAUGGAUUUAGGUGUGCCUGUUUAGCACUGCACUGCUAGUUCAAUGUGCAGAGUAGAAUUCUUACUCAAGGAGAAGGUAAACCUCCACAGAUUACAUGAGGCUACCAUUAUCAAUUUACCAUAAUCUAGGUUAAUACUACAUGCAACAAGUACCUGAUGUGAAAAUAUAUGUAGAGUCAAUAAAUGAGCAGUCAAUUGCAUGGCAGGGGCAUGUAUAAUGUUUAAAUUAAAACAUAAAUGAAGUAAUUCUAUUGCUUUCUGUUAACCUAUCUCAAAUUAAAGCUUAACUAACAGCCUAAAACGACAAUAAGUAGGUAGGUUUAUUUGUUGCUAAAGAUUUUUCUGCUGCACAGUAUCUUUUUAAGGGUUGCUGCUGCUUUUACUGUUGAUUUUUUCUGUGGUUUUAUUGGCUUGUUUCAUUUUUAUUACUACUGUUAGUGAUCAGUUGUAUAACCUUGUUUUUGUGCAUUGCUUUGAGAACUUUAUCGUUGUGAAAUUAUGCAAAAAUAAGUAACAAAUUAAGUAAAGUAAACUAGACACAG